AUGCUGUGCUCUUGGGCCCCACUUCUGAUGCACACAGACGCAUGUGAGACUGCUGCCUGUCACAGCGUUGUGGCAGCUGAUGUUGACAGGUACCAUCUGGCCCAGGUCAUGUGGUGCCACCAGCUCAUGGACUUGACAGCUGGCCAGCUGAGGAAAGGCAUCUGUCUGUGGACCUGGAGGCCCCAGUGUGCCACCCAUUCUCCUGGAAAUUUUCCGAAGAGCCAAAUAUGCAAGGGUAGAGGAGGAGUCAGAUCCAGGAGAUUCCUCCCACUGAAGGCCUCAGUUCAAGGUCAGAGGACAGUCUGCUGGGCCUCCCAGGCACUGAGAUACUCUGUGCAUCUCAAGAGACGCUGCUACAGACAGGGCUCUGCCAGGGAAGUUCUUGGGAUCAUCAAACUUCACUCCUGGAAAGACCUUUGUGAUCACCAGUUAAUCUGGGCCAGAGAUGAAGCACCCUCCAAAGCCACACAGCUUGGUGUGCUCAUACUCAGGUGUCUGUGCUCUAAACAAAGGUCUUUCCCAUCAUCACAUCGCUGAAAUGGGGCUCUUGAGCAGGCAUCAGUGGGGGUCCAGAAGCUUCCCUAGGAGAGCCAGUCAUCGCAUUGGCAGUUAGCAAAACAGGGUGCUUUGUUUUCUUUUCCUGAAGAAGGGAUGUCUGUGAGUGUGAGUGUGUGUCUUCUGAGGUCCCCAGGUAAAAGGACAGGUCAGAGAGGCAUCAGUCUAGCCCACUGAGAGAGAGAGACUGGGUGAGAUGCUUCAGCAUACCAGGAGUGGUAUUUAGGAGACACUAAGGGGCUCUGGACCCCAGCAUCCUUACUAUGGCCUCAAUGACAAGGUACAGUCUCUAUGGUAAGAGACUUGCAGCAGAGCCACGUUCUCCCGGAGGGCUCUGGCACCAGGGCUGGGAGGCUAGUUCUGAAGAACUUAGGCAAACUGAAUUCUGAGCAUCUACAAGGCACCUGGCAGUGUGGGCACUCCCAAGUGUCACAGUAAAGACCCUGUGGCAUGGGACAGUGGACCCUCCACUGUGAUCAUGUGGCUCUCCUACUGUUCUCAGGCUGAAGUCUGAUCACAUGGGGUAGCGGUCAGAGCUCUUUGCAAGCAACAGACUUUAGCUGAUGUAAGCAGAAGAGGAAUUUAUUAAAAGGAUUUCAGAGCUCACAGAUCUUCAGGUAGAACUGAGAGCAAAGCUGAGAGGCUAUCCAGCCAAAGAUGGUGACCACAAUUGUCCCAUGAGCCUGGGCAUGUCUCCCCCACCACUGGCCACUGGACACUAGUCCUGCUGCCCCUUGCCCCCACCCAGCCUUGGAAGGGAUCCUGCUCAGUCGGUUCUGCUCUGUGUCUCUCAUUGCCAAUUCCACAUCAGGGGUGGGUGCUUCUGAUGGGUGGCUCCCAGGUCCUACAUCUGCAUCCAGCUUGCAGGGUGCACAGCAGCAGCUGCUCAGCUGUGUGCACAGCCACUGUGGAUUUCAUGGACACAUCAGGAGCUCAGGAAUGUACGCUGGUCAUUCUGUACCUGAACUUAACAAAGACAUCCACCAACUUCCUCAUCCCAUUUGAAUUUAAAUUAUUCAUUCAAGACUCAAAUCCCAUGAAAUCAGGAGUUCUGCCCCUCUUCCCUUUCAAGUCCUUCUCCCUAGGAUGGUGUGGAGCUUGCUCUUGGGGGAGAGGCAUCUAUCUAUGUGGAACCCCCCUCAGAUGUGUGAUCUUUUUUUUUUAAAGAUCUUAUUUAUUUAUUCAUAAGACACACAGAGAGAGAGGCAGAGACACAGGCAGAGGGAGAAGCAGGCUCCAUGCAGGGAGCCCGAUGCGGGACUUGAUCCUGGGUCUCCAGGAUCACGCCCUGAGCUGAAGGCAGAUGCUCAACUGCUGAGCCACUCAGGCGUCCCCAGAUGUGUGAUCUUCAUAGGUUGUGGUCAAUCCACAAUGUGUUCUCCUGGAAGAAACUAUGACCCUCUGACCUCUGGUUGCCAGGGUAAUGCAAACAACCCUCCAGCUGGAGCACAUAGGCAGCCCCUCCAGGUUCAUCAGCUGCUGUCAAGCACCCCAAGUCCAUCCCAGAGGUGCAGAAACUUCUGGAUGUUCUCCUUCAUGAUAUAGGGGAGCGUAAAGGAUUCAGGGGAGAGGCUAGCUCACCUUAAUUUCUACUCUAUUGAGGCUUUUCCAUAGAAGCAGGGGGGGUUUAUGGGAGGCCUCUUGCAUUCUUAGGCCACAUGUCACGAGGAAAGGACAGAUUCCUUCUGCCCUGGUGUCCCCUAUGGGUACCUGGGAUGUUUUUCAUGCCACCUUCUGCCUCAGUCCAGAGCAGGUGGUGCCCAAACUCCAUGACAGGCUGUCCAUCUGUAGGGGUGUUGUUCUGCCUCUUCUUUUUCACCUACCAGUUAAGACUUUAUCUCUUUUUGGGUGGGAUCCAAGCUCCUGUGAUGACACGUUUCCCCACUCUAGGGCUUAUAGCAUUAGCUCUCUUCUCUCCAAGUUCAAAGCCAAGCUUUUGGACCUUCAAAAAAUGUGUCUCUCUCAACCCAGCUCUGGCAUGGCUAGAGUCUGAACUCUGGGUUUCAAAGCCUCUUUUGCAACUCAAAGCCAAGGAAUUGACUCUUUGUUCUGAUUUCCCUUGGAGAGCUGGAAUAUAGGAAGCCAACUUAGUGUCUGGCUGAUGGGAAUGGAUAUGUUGAAAGUUGUCCACAGUGGAGCAUCAGUUAAUAUCUCAGAACGACAAUCCCCAGGUCCUGUAUUACUCACUGAUGCUUCAUGAUAACUCUUCAAGAGCGGGUGACUGACCCUGUUCCAGGGCCAGAACUAGGGUGAGGUGAGGGAGGCCUUCACCAGGCACAAAAUUCAGAGAAGUGCCGAAAAACUCAGCAAUCAAGAUAAUAGUUUAAUGCAAUUACUUAAAAAAAAAGUAAGAGUGAAUGCAAAAAGUUCACAAUGAACAAAAUAUCAACAUUUUAAUAAAGACAGGUUGACUACUACUAAUUGUUCCUUU
ensembl:lncRNA